GACGAACGCUGGCGGCGUGCCUAAUACAUGCAAGUCGAACGCUUCUUUCCUCCCGAGUGCUUGCACUCAAUUGGAAAGAGGAGUGGCGGACGGGUGAGUAACACGUGGGUAACCUACCCAUCAGAGGGGGAUAACACUUGGAAACAGGUGCUAAUACCGCAUAACAGUUUAUGCCGCAUGGCAUAAGAGUGAAAGGCGCUUUCGGGUGUCGUUGAUGGAUGGACCCGCGGUGCAUUAGCUAGUUGGUGAGGUAACGGCUCACCAAGGCCACGAUGCAUAGCCGACCUGAGAGGGUGAUCGGCCACACUGGGACUGAGACACGGCCCAGACUCCUACGGGAGGCAGCAGUAGGGAAUCUUCGGCAAUGGACGAAAGUCUGACCGAGCAACGCCGCGUGAGUGAAGAAGGUUUUCGGAUCGUAAAACUCUGUUGUUAGAUAAGAACAAGGACGUUAGUAACUGAACGUCCCCUGACGGUAUCUAACCAGAAAGCCACGGCUAACUACGUG
rnacentral:rRNA from 1 species